rnacentral:tRNA from 1 species
ACUUAGAUAGCUUAAUACUAAAGCAUAAUAUUGAAGAUAUUAUUAUAGAUUUCAUCUUUUAAGUA